AAACUUAGGCCAACAU
rnacentral:tRNA from 1 species